rnacentral:lncRNA from 1 species
CCUGGGUGUGCCUAAGCAGGGCACUGCAUAGGCUCCUGCCUUAAUAUUUUGCAUGAUGUUUGGGCGUAGAGGAUGAGAUGAUUUAUGAAUUAGUAGUACUAGAUAUUGCCUAGAUGCUCAUUUCCAGCACUAACUACAUCUUGUUUGAAUGUUAUGUUACGAAAUAUGGCCGACAACUAAUGUUCUAUAUCCGUGUAUGUUAUGCUUAAACUUUGAAUCAUAAUUAUCAUCAACAUCAUCUUUGUGGAUUCUGCCUUGACCUCUAGGCGUUCACCUAGUGCCUAGGUGCUAGUGCCUUCUACAACAUUGUUUUCUAUAUCAUAAUUGUUCUCUACUAAUAUGCUAGGAUUUAGUGGUCACAUAUGCUAGGCACCUUAAACCAUGCAACCAAUGUAGCUGACAAGUAACCUGGCUAGUUUGAUGAGUUGCGUGGGGUUCUUUUUGUUGGUUCUCACGAAAUGGGUGUCUAAGACUACUCUUUUCUGGCGAGGUUUUCAGGGAAGUGAUUACUGAAUCAUUUUUAUUCGUUAUAACUGGUGAGUUUUUGUGAGUGUAUGAGGUGAAGACAGUAAUGAACUGUUGGUUUGUCCAAUGACUGUAGGGUGAAAAGAUUACUGAAUGUGAACUGUAUGACUUAAUGAUAGUCUAGAAUUCUGAGGCCAUUCUGGCAAUUAGUGAUGUUUAUUUGAACAUUGUCCAAUCAUCCUCACCUUAGACACUGAGAUCACAUUAUUCUUUCAAGCUUACAGUAGAGGUUAGUGUAUAUUGUUAUGGGUGUGUGCAGCCUAAACCUUAAUGCUGGCAUGAUCACUAUAACGUUACUUAAGAUGUUUAGCUCUGAUGGUACAUAAAAUCCCGUGUGAUUGGACGGAAAUGUUUUUUUGGGGUAAACCUGGUAUUUGUUGUUUAUGUGCCUUAAUGAGGUUGAUUCCCUCUGCAUGGUUGGAUAAAUAAGGAAGGCUUUGUCCAUCUGCACUUGAUUACCCUUCUUUAAAGUUGUAAAUCUUAUCAUCAUGUACCUAUGAGUGGCUUAAGCAUUUAAUUUUUUUAUCUAGAUGUUGAUAUGUGUAUGCGAAGACUUGAAUGUUUAAAAAGGUGAUGGUGUCAGACAAAGUGUUUAAACUGUCAAUAAGGUGAAUUAUAAGCCUAAAAGUCAUAAGGCAGAAACCUCAAGAUUAUCUAUAAAAUUCAAAAAUCUAAGAAAAGUAAUUUGAAAUAAGUUACGUAAAGAAUGUGGGUGGACUUCUUGACGAGAUUUGGUAUAGAUCAACUUUCUAUGGUUAGUAUACAUAUCUCACCAUACAUUAGUUUGGUAUUUAAAUUAUACAAAGUGUCAUGCAAAGUCAUAGUUUGCCGUACCAGUGUCGGUAACGGUGCGUAUCGACCGUACCAUACCGAACUGGUAUAUGGUACAAUGGGCAUAUUGAGUGUUGGUACACUGAACCGGCUUCUAUAUCGGGUGUACGGACACAGUGAUAGGAUGGUACUGGUAUGGGGUCCGAUACCAAGAAAGCAAACUUUGGCAAAGUACAUAGAAAAGAGCCAAUCCUCUUUUGUGAACUAUAAAAUAAUUGGAACUUAGCUUCUAUGAAUAAAUGAAUAAUAGUUUAGGCCUCCUACAUUAAACAUUUUUUAAGGCAUAGGGUGUCUGAGCCCCUUUGCUCUGAUUCCUUAACUCAGAGCCCCACCAAUGAUCUUUGUCACUUAGACAGAGGUGUUAUAAGCAUCGUAUGAGAUUUUUAAGAAAAUGAUCAGAGCUUAUGCUGUUAGGAAAUGUUAGAAACACUCCUUGAGUGUGCUGCUAAUGUUUUGCAAUUUAUUUUGGGCGUUGAUAUUGCUUUAUCAGAUAUGUUUCACUAGUGUUUGCUAUCUUACAUGCUCAACUAGACACAGCAAGAGUUCAUCUCACUCAAGCUGUAGUGCAUAUGACUAUUGUAUAACUUUUCAUUCCUUUAGGCUGAUUGAGAUUGGACAGGUGUUUUUUUUUUAAAAAAAAAUAUGAAUCAUGACUUGUUUACUUCCUUCGGUUCAUUCAUAGGGAGUCAAACUAGAGUUGAUAAAAUAGCAAGAUGCUAUCUUAUCCUGUGAUUUACUACUCAAAUUGUACAAAAAUAAAUAGAGAAAGAUGCUCUAUCAGUUUCUGGAAAUUAUCUUUGUUUGUGUCUUUUUCUUUGUUGUAGGCUGCUAGUCUUCAAACAGUUACCAGUUCUAAGUUGUUGCCCCAUUUUUGGUCUAGCAAAAUCAUUUAAUUAAUAUAAAAUGUUGGAAAGAUAUCAUCUUGUUGAACCUUGAGUUAAGGAGGGCGCCUUUUCACAUUGCCAACCCUUGUGAAUUAUGACACAGCAAGAAAGAAGCAACAGAAGUUCUAAAAUGACUUCAUGAAAAUUAUGCUUAUUUAAGUUUGCUAUUAUGGAGGUUUCCAUGUAAUUUUCUUGUCAUAGUUAUUUAUGUACUUUGAGUUUCAUUUUGAUCUUAUGUGUUAAGUAAACAGUAUAUAGAUCAUAUUGGUGGAAGGAGGCUUCAGUCAAUUUGAAAAAAAUCCAAAUUGCCUUUACUAUCAUUAUGAUUUUUGCCGGGGGCUGUGGUGGUGGGUUGUUAAUUCCAAAUUAAAAACCAUGUACCAAACUUUGAUUUCUUUUUUGGUAAGUUAUGUUAUUGAUGGAACUUGAGAAGCUGCCAGUGAUCUUUUUUGAUUUACCUUUGUAUAGCAUUCAUUUAUAAUGAACUGUUAAAAAAAACAAUAAAUGCAUUUUUCUCAUCUUCAUGUUGGAGGCUUGGAGUAAAGUAUAUAGGACUUUUAGUACAACAUAGAUUGCAUUUCAAGUAAAAUCAUGUGGUCCAUGAUUUGAAUGAUGAAGAUUUUGAUUCAGAGCUCCUCAAAUUAUUAUAUGUUGGCAAUUUUUUCUUGUUGGUUAUUAUUAAAUCUUGCUUGCCUUCUUUGUCAGGGUCCUUGUGAGGUCUAUGCUAAUCUUGUAGGUUUGCUCUCUGAGUGCAUGAUCUUGAACUGUAUAACCAAUAAGGUAGGUUUUCACACCCUGCCAACUUUCAUUUUAGGCUUCGUAGCAGGUUCCCUGCUUGUUCAAAAUUUUACGAGUUAACUAUUUAACUUUGUAGAGGGUUGAUGUCAAGUAAAGAGCUGGUUAUAAACAUUUUCAGUCAUCAUUAGAUCAUACCAUGCUAGAUAAAGCUGAUCACUUAUAGGUGAGGGAGACAUUGCCACUGCACUAUAUAUGAUAGUUACCCAGGUAUAAUUUGACUUGUUAUUUUUUUAUUUCAUUUUAUUUUAUUCUAGUUUU